CUCAACCCCGAACCGGCGCCCGAAACUAUUCGGCUAGAGUACUGGAGAGGGAAGCGGAAUUCACGGUGUAGCAGUGAAAUGCGUAGAUAUCGUGAGGAACACCAGUGGCGAAGGCGGCUUCCUGGACAGUUACUGACGCUCAGGCACGAAAGCGUGGGGAGCGAAAGGGAUUAGAUACCCCUGUAGUCCACGCCCUAAACGGUGCGCAUUAGGUGUUGGAGGAUUCGACCCCUUCAGUGCCCAAGCUAACGCGAUAAAUGCGCCGCCUGAGGACUACGGCCGCAAGGCUAAAACUCAAAGGAAUUGACGGGGGCCCGCACAAGCGGUGGAGCAUGUGGCUUAAUUCGAUGCAACGCGAAGAACCUUACCUGGCCUUGACAUGCAAGUGGUAGAAGCCUGAAAGGGUGACGACCCCGCAAGGGGAGCU
rnacentral:rRNA from 1 species